rnacentral:lncRNA from 1 species
UUCUAGCAAGAUUCCUGUAGCAGAUUGAGCUCUGGCAGUUGAUCUCAGUGGCUUGAUAGAGUGUCAUUAUAAAAACGCACCUGGAAGAUUCUGUGGAAAAGACAACCUCAGAAGACCAAGGUGAAUCCAAGGCCUGAUCUGGACUCUUAAUGGGUGGUUAAAUUCUAGUUCCUUUAAAUAAGCAUCAAAGACGCCACAAAACCACAGAUAAAGCUGCCAUAGACAGCUAUAUUUGGGACUCAUUUAUCAUUUGUCACAAGCAUUUCAUCCUCUUGCAAUAUUUUUUUCUACUUAGUACUUCUACAAGAAGAGGCUGACUUUGCAAGAGAGAGUCCGUUUACCACUUAGAACCGUGAACACCACCCCCGCCCUCAUUUAUCUCCAGACUUGAACUAGUGGUUAAAUCCCAACAUGUCCCAGAGAAGUCAAAAGCAUUGUAAAAUCUGGGAAUCUGCCCACCACUCAAGCCUGGGAAAGCUGGCAGAGGAUGCACGUGUUUUACUCACCUGAGUGUUUACAAUGCUCGUGAGGUGCCUCCCUGAUAUUUUUAUAGCAGAAUGGAGAAACACAACCAAGGAGAUACACCUAAGUAACAACAGCAAUGAUGUCAAAAAGAGUGCCUGAAUACUUAGGGUGGAGGUCCUGGACAUGCAAACCCAAGCUUCCUCUUUGCUGUGGCCAGGAAUCUGCAGUGAUUGAGAGCACAGACUGUAUCUAAAAUUCCACCUUUCAAAGUUCAGCAUAUUACUUUUUUUUUUCUUACACCUAUAAGUACAGAGGAAUGAAGAAGGAAUAAACAGACCUUCUGGAUAAUUGCAUCAGCCUUCCCCACUAUUCCAAUGCCAUGCUAACAUUUCAAGUAAUGUCCCUUUUGUCUUGCUGAGAAAAAAUCAUUUCAUGAUUUAUUACACUGGAUUAAAGGCUAUGCACACUCUGGAGUUGGAACAUGACUGAAGGGCAAGCAAGCAUAAAGGAUAUCAGAAACAGUUGAUGUGUUUAAAUUUUUCUGAAUUUCUCAAGUAAACUUUUUAGAAAGUAGUCUGAAGAUAAAAUGGUUAUAUAAGUUACUUAAACUGUAGAUGAUGGCACCUUUAUCCCUAUAUAAUAAAAUUAAGAUAACUCUUCUGGGCACUUUAUUUGGAAUUAAUUAUUUAAUCCUCAUAACAACGCCAUGAAGAUCAUACUAUUACCAUCCAAAGUUUACUGAGGAAGAUACUGAGGCAAGGUUGGUGACUAGUAACAUGACCACAUUUGCUGUGGAUAGGUCAAUCCAGGACAUCUGACUUCAAAACUUGCAAUCUUAGCCAUAUGAUAAUUUGCAUCUUUAUUUUGAUUCAUGAUUCUAAGAAAUGUUCAUUGAGCUCUUACGCUGUUACAGACCCCACAGAAGCAGCAAGUAAUGGAAUUAAAAAAAAUCUCUUCUCUCUUGGAGCUGACAUUAUAGUGGGAAAUGGAAAUAAUUAGAAGAUUGUUGUCAUAUUAAAAUAUACAAUCCAUUGUGCCUGAAACUAUGGAGGCUAAAAUGGAUAGCUUGCUUCCUUGAAAUCUUAGGGAAAAGAUGAUUAAUGUUUGCCAAAGAAUUGAAAGGCCCAAAUUGAGAAUAACUGGAGUCCUUAAACUUGCCAUUUUGCAUUCUAGCAAAAUCAUACAUCUUUGAUUUAAUAAUUAGAAGGGAAGCAAGCUACUGCUCCUUUGUGUAUAAUUACAAGCUUGUUGCAGGCAAAUAAUUCUGUAUAUUAACAACUUUUUCACAUUUUUGGUGAAUCAUUAUCUCUUCAGUUUCUGACAUUAUAACAGCUAUCAUAUUUGUAUACUUUCUAUCAAAUUUGCCUUGAUAUGAAGGGGUUUUACAAACUUAUUGAUCAUUUAUGCCAUGUAUAGUGUUAUUGGGGAUAUAACAAAAAUAAAAAACUGUUUUGGUCCUCAAUAGAUUUACAAUCCAAAGCAGAGUGGGAGGAAGAGACCUACAAGACCAUGUUUCAUUGGAUAGCUUUGGAGUAAUAUCUAUAAUUUUAGAAAAAAGUUAAGAGGAAGAAGAAACUGGUGUCAGCUACACUUAGAAGAUUUUACAACAGAGACUGGCUUCCAUUCACUGAUCAGACAUUCACUGAUUUUUAAUUCUUACCACCAGAGAAAAAGUUGUUAUGAUGAGGGUCCUCAGGAAAGACAAUACAGUCAGCCGAGAAAUACAAUUUUCUUUGUCUACUGUUGUUUCCUUUACACGGACCAUUGAAAUAUAUACUUAACCACCAGCAAAACUCCUAUUAAACACAAGUAAAAAAAAAUCACUACAUGCAAAAGAGUGAACACCAGGCAAAGUGAUAAUUUAUGAAUUUCCAGGAUUUUUGUUGUAAUUUACCCGUGUAAGUUUACAAUAAAUGAUUGAUGUAACUAAAUUUAUGGAUUGCAAUUAAUUACUAGGUUUGUACCACAGAUGAAGUAAUAUAUAUAUUGUCUAAUUUAAUAAUGAUUUGUCUACAGAAUUCAACCAACUGCUCAUUACAGAAUCUGAUGAACCUACCUUUAGACUACCUGUUAUCUUAACUACCUGUGAAGAUACUAUAUAUGAUGUAAUAGGUUUAACAAAUAAUGAAGGACCUUUUGUCCUUGCUUGACUCAAGAAGGGAUGGAGGGUCUCCAAGAAAUAUAAAUGUAGUCUGCUAUAAUGGGUAUUAGCUAGAUUAGUACUUCAGAAAAGGAAGAAUUAUUUUCAUUAUCAAAUGAUUAUUUGAUAUUUCCAUUCUGCAUUCUAAGCACAUAUUAGUUGAUGUACAGGUGCUGCUGGAUAACUGUUUGGAAACAGACCACAAAAUCGCUCCAAAAGGUAAAAUUCUCAAAUAACAGAGUUGUCAUGGUUGUAAAAAAAAGGUAUGAUAAAUACAUAAAAGCUGGCAAAAAUGGGGAAGGAUUAAAACUGUAACCUUAGUUAUCCUUCAGUAAACAUAGUUAAGUAGAAUGAAGCAGAUGUUUAUUCUGGUAGAUUCUAUUGCAAUGUUACAUUUUAACUUAAUAUUUCUAUUUUGUGAUUUAUUUUUAGUAUAGCAAAAUGUUUGGUUAAUAUUGUGGGUAUUGAUACUGUGUUAAAAUUUGUGACAGUCUAUUUAAUUUUUCAAUAUGAAGAAGUAUUACUGCUAUGAUGAAAUAUUUACUGUUGUGGUGGAAAUAAAUAAGAAAAUAGAAUUGACUAAAAGCAAAACAAACCAAUAAAAAAAGAAAAAAAGUCUGUUAUUUAUCAACAAAACAUUAGGAAAUUUACAUGCUUAAAGUAAACUUUGAUUCCCUAUUCCAAAGUGCCUUAUAUAUUCUACUCUCUUUGCUUUCACAUAAAUUUAUUCUAUGCUAUAAUGUAACUGGUAUACUAUUAAGUCCCAUACAUAUGUUACAUUGAACCAUACAUUUUUCUAUUCCAGGAAAGAGAAUUUUCUCAUUUUUUCCACCACUACCAUCCACCACAAUGACCACUAUUUUUCUCUUCACUUAAAAAGUAUCAUUUAUCUAAAGUUAAUGGCAUAGUUUCAGACUUCUCAUGUGUCCAAGCAUAUGAAUUAACAGUUCCUAUGUUAUUGUCCUAAGAUUUGUAGGUUAAACCUUGGAUAUUCCCAUCUGAGCAUCUGUACCAAACAGAAAAGACCUGUGUGAGUUCCUGAGAACCAGUGCUCAUUCCAGAAGAGACAGGUUUCUCUCCAGGAAGAAAUGUCUGAAAUUCAGUGAAUUAAAAUCCUCAUUGAGUCUUCCUACUCUUUACUUCUCCCUGGAAAAACUGGUUACGAAAAUUUAAUAUUCUGUCAUGAUAAGAUCAAGCUCUAUCAGAUCAGCCAUACAUAUCAAGUACAUUUUGACAAACUUGAUUCAUACUGUUUUCAAAUUAUGAACAACCAAGGCUCUUCUAUCCAAAAAUAUUGAUUAUUUAAUUCUGAAUAUCAUUACAGAGCAGUAAUAUGCUCUCAGCAUUUGGGGAUACAAGAGUCAGAAGAUGGACAAGCUUCCUUCCUAACAACAAUUACCACUUAAUUACAAUAUACCAAGUAGUAUUUUAUCUGCUAGGUAUAUUGGACUUACUUUUCACAGAUAGUUUAUACUAACAAAAUUUCUAACCAAAAUAUUUCUUGAAAAUUACUGAUUUUAUUUGAAAUUAUGUGCAGGAAAAAUACAAGCAUAUCUCUGAAUUUCUAUUUGUCUGUUAAACAAAAGGGGAUAAAUAUGACUAAUGUCAUUUAACAAGAGGAAUUACAGACUAUGAAAAGAGUAGCUUAUUUAUAUCAACUCACAAUACUUUCCAGAGAGAGAAAGAAAAAGGCUAUUAUGUGGCCUGAACAAGAAGUUGGCCAUCCUUUUCCCUUUCUUUGUGGAAGAUGGUCCUGAUAGGAUAGAGACUUAAAGAAGGGAUUGAUUUGUUUUCUCCAGCUGUCCUAAUAGUGAGUGAAUAAAAUUAACUGUGAACUAUUUCAAUCAAUAACUCAAUGAUUGACUUACAUUGAUUAGAAAAGAGCUGAUUCUUUGCCAUGGAUAUCUAGAUACCUUGAUGAUCCUAUUUUGAACCAAUUUAAAAGUAGGACAAUACCCACUGGAUGGAAGUUUCAAAACCUGAAAACAAUAAAACCCACAAGAUUUUAUUUCUUUUAAUAACUUCUGUGACAAUGAAAUUGAAGUCUUACACACUUUUUUUUUUUUUUACUCCAGUGUCUUGUUAUCUGGAGCAAAAUUCAGAAAGGAGAGCAACUAUGUAAAAAAGUAAGAAUUUUGGCUUGCUAUGCCAUUCUUAGAGGUUUCUUUUAUCUUUAUAUUUUCUUGAAAUGUCUUGUGUAAAAUUUAAACAACUUCCUGUACUAUAAAUAAGAUAUUUUGAAGGCAAGCAUAUGCAUAGAUAAUACUUUAGAAAAGAAUUGUGAUUCCAAUUCUGUACUUAGCACUUAAUAUUAAAAGUUUCUUAUAGUGAAUAUAAUUUUCUACAACAGAUAGUACAAUUUUGUUUCACCAUUAACAGGUAAAUAAGUAAAUAUACAUUUAAAUAAAUAUUAUAAAGUUCAUUUGUUAAUUAAUACAAACAUUAUAAAUUAUUGAAUACUUUUUCCAAUGGACAAGCAGCUUUAAAAACCUGCUUUCACCACUUUAUUUAUUUAUUUUUUUUUGAGACAGAGUCUCGCUCUGUCGCCUAGGCUAGAGUGAUCUCGGCUCACUGCCAGCUCUGCCUCCCGGGUGCACGCCAUUCUCCUGCCUCAGCCUCCCAAGUAGCUGGGACUACAGGCACCCGCCACCACACCCGGCUAAUUUUUUGUAUUUUUUUAGUAGAGACAGGAUUUCACCGUGUUAGCCAGGAUGGUCUUGAUCUCCUGACCUCGUGAUCUGCCCACCUCAGCCUCCCAAAGUGCUGGGAUUACAGGCAUGAGCCACCGUGCCCGGCCUUUUUUUGGUAUUUUUAGUAGACAUGGGGUUUCACCCUGUUAGCCAGGAUGGUCUCGAUCUCCUGACCUCGUUAUCCACCCGCCGCGGCCUCCCAAAGUGCUGGGAUUACAGGCAUGAGCCACCGUGCCAGGCCACUUUCACCACUCUUAAUCCUCUGAGGUGAAGAGGUCUUUUAAACUAUAGUUUGUAUAACUGAAAAUCAAAAGAAAAAAGUUUUAAUGAAGUUUUUGUAAUUAGUAAGAAACAUAAGGGAAUACCAAAAGCAAACUUUUUUGAAUGCUUACUUUUGGGGAAGCAUUGAAUUUUAUAUCUGGUAUAUGAUAAUUCAUAUCUUAGGAUAUGCUCCCCUUUCUAUAAGUAGGAAUUAGGAAACACGGAGAGGUGAAUUUUUUGCUCAUGAAUGAAUUUACCCAUUAGGCAUUUUUGAGAGGUAUCAGUAGUCAGCAGUUAUCACUUUCUUCUACUCUUCAUAUUGCUAGAGACAUAGUGACUCCAUGUCUUAUAGAAUGUUCAUUUUCUCUUUCACUUAUCCCAUAUCAUGUGCCAGCUAUUGAUCCAAUCAAUUUUAACAAUGAAAGUUCUAAACCAGGAACCAUUUACACUGGAUCUUACAUUUGCCCUGGGUAAGAUGGCAGUUGAUGGCAGUGUCCACGUGCAUCAGGAAGAAGUCUUCAUUAGCUUCAUGAUUUAAGUCCUUAAAUGUAAUUUUAUCACAGAAAACAUAACCUAUAUUCAAGCCUUAACCUUAACUUAGUCCUCAUAUUCAUUGUUACCCUUACCAAGUUUUUCUUAAUUGUAUGCCUAGCAUGCAAAUGAUACGGACAGGAGACAGGGAAAUACAGGGUAGAAAAGGGCAGUUCCCCAGCAAAGGCCCCACCCUCAAGCCUGAAAAACCAUGGCCCUAAAUGAGGACAGGCAUUCCUGUUGUCACACCCAAAAAGUUGCCUUUUGGCCUGCCAUGCCCCAUAUCCUGUACCCAUAUAAAUCCCGAACCCCACGCUCCAGAAGCAGAUGAGCAGGUGAGGAAAUGAGGAGUCAAACAGAUGGAUAGUAGAACGACACAGCAAAGAAAGAAGAGGAAUGUCUGAAUACCAAGAGGAGUUCAGCUGGGGGCAGUUAGGGAGAGGUUUGGAGACUGGCCAGUUUCCAGGGGAAGAUCACCUUCCUAUUCUAUCCCCUCCUUCUGCCUCCUCAUCCAGCGCACUGAGAGCCACCUCCACCACUCAAUAAAAACCUUGCAUUCAUCCUUUAAGCCCGUGUGUGACCUGAUUCUUCCAGGACGGUGGGUAAGAGCUCAGGAUACUGAAAGCUGUCACACUGGCUCUCUGCGCUUGCGAAAAGGCAGAGGGUCCAUUGAGCUGGUUAACACUUAAAAUCAUCUGCAGACAGCAAGGCUAAGAGAGCAUCAGUUAACACUGUGGCUGCAGGCACCCACCCCAAGACACUGCCGUGUGACCAGAGAACACAGUGCUUGCUCCAGCCUCUGCACCCACCUGUCUGCAUGAUCCCUCUCCCUCAAGGGUUUUGAGCAGCAGUGGUGACCAAAUAGCCAAGCCACUCCCCUGUUGCAAGUCCUGAGAGGGGGAUCAGGGAACUCUCCCAUUUCACUUAGGCAGGGAAGGGGUAAGACUAUGGGAUGGACUAAGAAUGUAGAUUUUACAUAUCACUUGGUAAUUUGUUACAAAUUAUUUGGUAAUUUUUUUUUCUUUUUGAGACAGAGUCUUGCUCUGUUGCCCAGAGCCGGAGUGAAUGGCCAGUCUUGGCUCACUGCAACCUCCACCUCCUGGGUUCAAGCAGUUCUCCUGCCUCAGCCUCCCGAGUAGCUGGGAUUACAGGUGUGCGCCACCAAGCCCUGGCUAAUUUUUGUAUUUUUAGUAGAGAUGGGGUUUCACCAUGUUGGCCAGGCUGGUCUAGAACUCCUGACCUCAUAAUCCACCCACCUCAGCCUCCCAAAAUGCUGAGAUUACAGGCAUAAGCCACCGUGCCCAGCCUACUUGGUAAUUUUUAAAAGCUACAGGUUUAAUAGUUAAUUUCUCAAGCAAAUAAAAGAUGUUCCCAACUCCAAACUGCUUUAUUAAAUAAUUUAACCUAAUUAAAUAGAAUCCUGAUCAUGGACCAUAUAGUUUAUUAUCCAAACUGGAGCCACAGGCAGUAGACAGGAUUGAACCAGACAAUCCUGCAAGAUCACCCACCCUCCUUCAAAGAGAUAUUGUCUGUGAGUGGACAUUAUCCUCACAGCCUUAUACCUCUUUUUUCCAAUGGACAAUUGCAUAUGAAAUGACAGCAGAAAAAUUAAAAAACAGGGCAUCCCCAAGGGCAAAAUAAUGUAGGCCCAACUCAACACAUCAAAGAUGAAAAACUGCAGAAUAUAGCACUCCUCCAACCUGAGCUGUAAAAAGUUAUAUUCUUCAAAUAAUUUUCACUACCACUCUAUAUAACCAUGUUAAAUACAUUAGCACAACAUACUGAUGAAAAUAAAUGUCUUCCAAGAUUUGCACAUAAAUGCAAAGAGGAUCGUAAUCAUUACUUUUAAGAGAUUUGGGGUCAGUUGGUGUGUGUAUAGGGGAGUGUGUUUUAUUGUGAUAUAAUUCAAAAACCAUACAACUGAACAGUUUAAUAUAUUAGCAGAGUUCUGCAACCAUCACCACUAUCUAAUUAUAGAAGAAUUUCAACACCUCAAACACAAACUCCAUACCAUUUAACAAUCACUCUUAAUUCUUCAUUCUCCCCACUCCCAGGCAAACACAAAUCUACUUUCUGUCUCUGUGGUUUUGCCUGUUCCGGACAUUUCAUAUAAAUGAAAUCAUACAAUGCCUUUUCUGGCUGAAUUCUUUUUACAAUAUAAUAAUUUCAAGGUUCAUUCAUGUUGUAACACGUAUCAGUACAUCAUUCCUUUUUAUUUCUGAAUGAUAUUGAAUUAUAUGGACAUACUACAUUUUGUUAUCCACUCAUCAGUUGCUGGACAUCUGUAUUAUUUCCAUUUCUGAGGUAUUAUGUGUAACACUGCUAUGGACAUUUAUGUGGAAUUUUUUGUGGACAUAUGUUUUCACUUCUCUUGGAUAUAUACCCAGGAGUGUAAAUUGCUGGUCAUAUUGUCUCUGUUUUAUAAUACAUUUUGAGGAACUGCCAAACUGCUUUCCAAUGUGACUUCACCACUUUAAAAUCCCACAGCAAUAUAUGAUAAUUACAAUUUCUCCAUAUCCUCACCAACAUUUGUUAUCAUCUGUUUUUUUUAUCUGAGCCGUCCUAGUGAGUAUAAAGUGGUAUCUCAUUAUAGUUUUGAUUAGCAUUUCCCUUCUGGCUAAUGAUGCUGAGUAUCUUUUCAUGUGUUUCUUAGCCAUUUGCAUAUUUUUCCUUGAAAACAGUCUAUUAAGAUAUUUUUCCUUAUUUUUGAAUGGGUUAUUUGUUUUUUCACUACUGAAUUGUAAGAGUAGUUUCUUUAUGCUAAAUACAAGAGCUGUAUCAGUUAUAUGUUUUGCAAUUGUUUUCCCUUUUACUGGAUUGUUAUAAUAAAGAGUCUGACUCCAUUAUUGAUGUGUGACUCUUGGCAGCUUUUAAAACCCCAUCCUAAUGUCUUCCCCUUCUGUCCCGCACUGGACCAUGAUGAUAAGAAAGUCUGGGUUUUCCCACCUUUGGCACUGAAGGGAAGUUCAAACCACACAGGGGGACCCUCAGCCCAGCCUCAUCUUAUAACCCCCAUAAAACCCCCA